GUAGGGAAUAUUGGGCAAUGGAUGCAAGUCUGACCCAGCCAUCCCGCGUGCCGGAAGAAGGCCCUCAGGGUUGUAAACGGCUUUUGACGGUGAAGAAUGGACAGGAUGCGUCCUGUUUUGACGGUAGCCGUUGAAUACGCAACGGCUAACUCCGUGCCAGCAGCCGCGGUAAUACGGAGGGUGCGAGCGUUGUCCGGAUUUAUUGGGUUUAAAGGGUGCGUAGGCUGGAAGGUCAGGCAGCGGUGAGAAGCUGUCGCUUAACGAUAGUCUUGCCGCAGAUACUUCAUUUCUUGGGUGAGGAGGAGGACACUGGAACGGAUGGUGUAGCGGUGAAAUGCAUAGCUAUCAGCCAGAACACCGAUUGCGAAGGCAGGUGGCUGUACCUUAAUCGACGCUGAUGCACGAAAGCAUGGGGAGCAAACAGGAUUAGAUACCCUUGUAGUCC
rnacentral:rRNA from 1 species